GACGAACGCUGGCGGCGUGCUUAACACAUGCAAGUCGAACGAUGAACCGGUUUCGGCCGGGGAUUAGUGGCGAACGGGUGAGUAACACGUGGGCAAUCUGCCCUGCACUCUGGGAUAAGCCCGGGGAACUGGGUCUAAUACCGGAUACGACACUCCGAGGCAUCUUGGGGUGUGGAAAGUUCCGGCGGUGCAGGAUGAGCCCGCGGCCUAUCAGCUUGUUGGUGGGGUAAUGGCCUACCAAGGCGACGACGGGUAGUCGGCCUGAGAGGGUGACCGGCCACACUGGGACUGAGACACGGCCCAGACUCCUACGGGAGGCAGCAGUGGGGAAUAUUGCACAAUGGGCGAAAGCCUGAUGCAGCGACGCCGCGUGAGGGAUGACGGCCUUCGGGUUGUAAACCUCUUUCAGCAGGGAAGAAGCGAAAGUGACGGUACCUGCAGAAGAAGCACCGGCUAACUACGUG
rnacentral:rRNA from 1 species